UGAGGAAAGGAAGAUCAAAAGACCAGUGCCUCAGGAUGAAGACAAAAUGAAUUUGGAGAGCCAAGUAGAAAUCUUAAAGAUUAGCUUAGAAAAUGAGAA
rnacentral:lncRNA from 1 species